rnacentral:rRNA from 1 species
CUGUCAGCGGGAGACGGGUGCGUCACGCGUGGGAACGUACCUUUUGGUUCGGAACAACACAGGGAAACUUGUGCUAAUACCGGAUAAGCCCUUACGGGGAAAGAUUUAUCGCCGAAAGAUCGGCCCGCGUCUGAUUAGCUAGUUGGUGAGGUAAUGGCUCACCAAGGCGACGAUCAGUAGCUGGUCUGAGAGGAUGAUCAGCCACAUUGGGACUGAGACACGGCCCAAACUCCUACGGGAGGCAGCAGUGGGGAAUAUUGGACAAUGGGCGCAAGCCUGAUCCAGCCAUGCCGCGUGAGUGAUGAAGGCCCUAGGGUUGUAAAGCUCUUUUGUGCGGGAAGAUAAUGACGGUACCGCAAGAAUAAGCCCCGGCUAACUUCGUGCCAGCAGCCGCGGUAAUACGAAGGGGGCUAGCGUUGCUCGGAAUCACUGGGCGUAAAGGGUGCGUAGGCGGGUCUUUAAGUCAGGGGUGAAAUCCUGGAGCUCAACUCCAGAACUGCCCUUGAUACUGAGGAUCUUGAGUUCGGGAGAGGUGAGUGGAACUGCGAGUGUAGAGGUGAAAUUCGUAGAUAUUCGCAAGAACACCAGUGGCGAAGGCGGCUCACUGGCCCGAUACUGACGCUGAGGCACGAAAGCGUGGGGAGCAAACA